UGGGCAACGGAGUCUAAC
rnacentral:rRNA from 1 species